rnacentral:rRNA from 1 species
GAUGAACGCUGGCGGCGUGCCUAAUACAUGCAAGUCGAACGAACCGACCAGGAGCUUUCUCCCCUGACUUCAGCGCCGGACGGGAGCGUAACACAUGGAUAAACUACCUCUACGACUGGGGUACCAUCAGCAGACCGGAGCUACUACCCGAAAAUAUAUUGCCCCUCGUUGUUCCCUAGUGAGAUACGCUUUUUCUGCCACUUAUAGAUGACUCCGCGCCGCAUUAGUUAGUUGGCUAGGUAGCGGCUUACCAACGCUACGAUGCUUACACGACCCGAGCGGGUGGUUGGCCAGAUGGGAACUGAGACAGGGCCCAGACUCCUACAGGAGGCAGCAGUAGGGAAUCUUACGCGAGGGAGGAGAGCGUGACGGAGCAACGCGGCGGGAAUGAUGAAGGUCUUCGGAUCCGAAAGCUCUGUUAUCAGGGAAGAAGAAAAGCGUAAGUAACUGUGCUCGUCUUGACGGUACCUGAUCAGAAAGCCACGGCUAACUACGUG